CCCAGCCAUCUCCCUUCAGGACCGGAAUCUCUGUGGUCUCCUGGGGCUACCUGUUUGUCCCAUCACCCAGCUUUGUGGCUCCCUCCCUCUCACCUGUGUGUUCAGACCACUCAGGCAUCCAUCAAGUGUAUAUAGAGUACACUUGAUGUACUCUGUAUACAGGUUUUGGGGUGAUAGAUACAAAAAGAUAAAGACCCUAUCUUCAAGGACAUGACAACGUGGUCUGAGUAGAAAAGCAAACAGUGAUACAGUGUGUAAAGGAGCAUAAAAGAGGUAUGGCCAGUGGCACUGGGAGUGCAAUGGAGCUUUAUUGAACAGAAGUAUACUAUCUGCUGGAGAUAAUUGUAGAUCAUUUUUCUACAGACACUAACCUUUGCUCAUUUUAUGUUUUUACAUUGUAACUGAUGAAAAAUCAUUUAUUUCAAAUACUUUUAAAAUAUUGAAGUCUAACAUACAUACCAAAUAAGUAACAUACAUGAACAUUUUUAAAUAAUUAUUAGGAGAACCAGAAUAAUUAUUAAGAUAACUCUACCCAGGUAUAGAACAUUACCAGUAUCCCACAAUCCUCCAAUGUACACUUUCCCUCCCCACUGUUGGAAACAAUCACCCUGACUUCUGUGAUAAUCAGUUCGGUGAUUUUUCAUUAUAGUUUUAUCACUUAUAUAUCUAUCCCUAAACAAAAGGUACAUUUAUUUCUCCCCUUUUCUUCUUUUUUUUUUGAGACAGAGUCUUGCUCUGUAGCCCAGGCUGGAGGGCAGUGGUGCCAUCUCAGCUCACUGCAACCUCCGCCUCCCGGGUUCACGCCAUUCUCCUGCCUCAGCCUCCCAAGUAGCUGGGACUACAGGCGCCUGCCACCACGCCCAGCUAAUUUUUUGUAUCUUUAGUAGAGACAGGGUUUCACCGUGUUAGCCACGAUGGUCUUGAUCUCCUGACCUCGUGAUCCGCCGGCCCGGGCCUCCCAAAGUGCUGGGAUUACAGGCGUGAGCCACCGCGCCCGGCCUACACUGGCUAAUUUUUGUGUUUUUAGUAGAGAUGGGGUUUCACCAUGUUGGCAAGGCUGGUCUU
rnacentral:lncRNA from 1 species